AUCAACAGGUGUAUUUCCGGCGGCACUCGCUCUGACUUUCUGAUGGAAAUACAAGCUCUUCUCAACUCUGGGCAAUCCAAUGGCCCACAGCAGGGCCAAUACUUGCGCUGUGUGUGGGAAAACCACUGCCAAGAUCUAAUCUAUAAUUUCGGUUUUUUCCUGGACUUGCUGCGCUCCGCGAUACCAUAGAUGCUCUACGAUGACGGAUAUAAAAUAUAUGAUGGCGACAGCUAUGAAAUAAAAAGCAUAGACCGUGUAUUGGCCCACAGCGUCGAGCUCAAAGCCCGUCUCGGAGACGACAAUAAUGGUGAGCAACGACUGGAAGACCAAAGCCAGCAGCGUGUUGAUGCCAAAGACCAGGCCAAAGCUGUCCUCCUGCAGAUUACGUGCCACCUCAGCGCUAAUAACCGCCAAUAUUGGAGACGGAUAAAAUAAACAUUACAUGCUCCACAUAUUGAUUUCCCAUAUGAUUUCAUAUACGAUAAAAAUCUCAUUGGAAAUCUUAUUGGAAUGCGAUCUUCAGAUAUGAUAAAAAUCUUGUUGGAAUACUAUACUAUAUUAGGAUAUAUACGAUAUGUAUAUACAUUUUUCUUAUUUCCAAUAUAUCCAUUUAAAAGCUUCACUGAAGCAGAAAUCUUUUAAAGUUCAAAUAUUUUUCGUUAGCAUCAACAGUUAUUGGAAGCUAUAUGGAUAAGCUUUAAUGAUAUAGCCGCUAAGAGUAAAUAAAUAAUACCGAUUAUUGCGAUUUGUCUGCAAAGGUAUCAAGUUGCGGUCUUUUUGUUUUAUUUCAUUGCAAGUAUGGCAAACUUACCGCAGAAAAUCCGUAAUAAGAAAAACAAAAACCAAUUGAACCAGAUGCGAAUAGGUGCCCACUGGAUAAACAUCUUGUGUUAGCUUUAAUAGAGAAACGAUUUAAUGAGGGAUAAUUUGAAAAACUUGCCAAUACGCCAACUCACCUGUUGUUCCGUUAUGUUGCG